UUUUUGGUGAGGAUGAAAUGGAAACCAAAUGAGGGUUUGGUUUCAAUUUUGGCUUACUGUCCUGCAUACCAGAAAGCCAAAAGCUAUCACAGCAGAGUUUGCAAGAAGGGAAAAACUUUACUCCAAUUCCAAAUACAUUGAAGGCAGGAGCAAUGUUAAAGCCUCCCUUUCUGUCUCUCUGUUUCAGGAAAUAUUUGUACAGGUAAGGAAGACCUUGUGGACUGGCAUAGGAUCCCGGUUUGAGCCCCUGGCUCCCCACCUGCGGGGGGGGGUCACUUUACAAGCCGUGAAGCAGGUUUGUAGGACCCAGAUUCCAGGAAAACUUCAAUGUCUUCUUCACAAAAUUUCAAAUGGUGCACAUUCUACUGUCCUGGGGCACAAAAGACUUCCAUGCCUGCAGCUCCAAGGUCCCAGAUUCAAUCCCCAGCACCUUCUCCAAAUAAGCCAGAGUUGAAAAAUAAUAAAUAAAUAAAUUUAUUGUUCCUUAACUAUUUGAGCGAGGUUUUUCAGAGUACUAGUUUCCCCUUCUUUAGCGAAAAAAAUAAAUGUCGCUUUAAUUA